GCGGGUGUCGUAUAGUGGCAAUACACGACCUUCCCAAGGUUGAGACGGGAGUUCGAUUCUCCUCACCCGCU
rnacentral:tRNA from 1 species